CUCUAUCCGGCUAACAAACCGCGUCCAUUAUUUCCUCCACUAUCUCCUCAACCCUCUUUUAAACAACCAGCCUCCUUUUCUUUUCUUAGACCAGAUUGAAGACGUGGGAGACAACCAGCUGAUAGAAGACGUCGGAGACUAGAUUGCUUUCAAUCCCUCACAAGAUGCACCUCCGCGUGGGAAAGUACUGAUUCGUCCAGCUUGGGUGCAGGAAGACAAGGACACCGGGUCACGGCCUGGAUCAAAUCUUACUUAG